AAAUUGAAGAGUUUGAUCAUGGCUCAGAUUGAACGCUGGCGGCAGGCCUAACACAUGCAAGUCGAACGGUAACAGGAAGCAGCUUGCUGCUUUGCUGACGAGUGGCGGACGGGUGAGUAAUGUCUGGGAAACUGCCUGAUGGAGGGGGAUAACUACUGGAAACGGUAGCUAAUACCGCAUAACGUCGCAAGACCAAAGAGGGGGACCUUCGGGCCUCUUGCCAUCGGAUGUGCCCAGAUGGGAUUAGCUAGUAGGUGGGGUAACGGCUCACCUAGGCGACGAUCCCUAGCUGGUCUGAGAGGAUGACCAGCCACACUGGAACUGAGACACGGUCCAGACUCCUACGGGAGGCAGCAGUGGGGAAUAUUGCACAAUGGGCGCAAGCCUGAUGCAGCCAUGCCGCGUGUAUGAAGAAGGCCUUCGGGUUGUAAAGUACUUUCAGCGGGGAGGAAGGCGAUAAGGUUAAUAACCUUAUCGAUUGACGUUACCCGCAGAAGAAGCACCGGCUAACUCCGUGCCAGCAGCCGCGGUAAUACGGAGGGUGCAAGCGUUAAUCGGAAUUACUGGGCGUAAAGCGCACGCAGGCGGUCUGUCAAGUCGGAUGUGAAAUCCCCGGGCUCAACCUGGGAACUGCAUUCGAAACUGGCAGGCUAGAGUCUUGUAGAGGGGGGUAGAAUUCCAGGUGUAGCGGUGAAAUGCGUAGAGAUCUGGAGGAAUACCGGUGGCGAAGGCGGCCCCCUGGACAAAGACUGACGCUCAGGUGCGAAAGCGUGGGGAGCAAACAGGAUUAGAUACCCUGGUAGUCCACGCCGUAAACGAUGUCGACUUGGAGGUUGUGCCCUUGAGGCGUGGCUUCCGGAGCUAACGCGUUAAGUCGACCGCCUGGGGAGUACGGCCGCAAGGUUAAAACUCAAAUGAAUUGACGGGGGCCCGCACAAGCGGUGGAGCAUGUGGUUUAAUUCGAUGCAACGCGAAGAACCUUACCUACUCUUGACAUCCAGAGAACUUAGCAGAGAUGCUUUGGUGCCUUCGGGAACUCUGAGACAGGUGCUGCAUGGCUGUCGUCAGCUCGUGUUGUGAAAUGUUGGGUUAAGUCCCGCAACGAGCGCAACCCUUAUCCUUUGUUGCCAGCGGUUAGGCCGGGAACUCAAAGGAGACUGCCAGUGAUAAACUGGAGGAAGGUGGGGAUGACGUCAAGUCAUCAUGGCCCUUACGAGUAGGGCUACACACGUGCUACAAUGGCGCAUACAAAGAGAAGCGACCUCGCGAGAGCAAGCGGACCUCAUAAAGUGCGUCGUAGUCCGGAUUGGAGUCUGCAACUCGACUCCAUGAAGUCGGAAUCGCUAGUAAUCGUGGAUCAGAAUGCCACGGUGAAUACGUUCCCGGGCCUUGUACACACCGCCCGUCACACCAUGGGAGUGGGUUGCAAAAGAAGUAGGUAGCUUAACCUUCGGGAGGGCGCUUACCACUUUGUGAUUCAUGACUGGGGUGAAGUCGUAACAAGGUAACCGUAGGGGAACCUGCGGUUGGAUCACCUCCUUACCUUAAAGAA
rnacentral:rRNA from 1 species